GACGAACGCUGGCGGCGUGCUUAACACAUGCAAGUCGAGCGGUAAGGCCCUUUCGGGGGUACACGAGCGGCGAACGGGUGAGUAACACGUGGGUGACCUGCCCUCAGCUCUGGGAUAAGCCUGGGAAACCGGGUCUAAUACCGGACAUGACUCCAUGACGCAUGUCGUGGGGUGGAAAGCCUUGUGCGGCUGAGGAUGGGCCCGCGGCCUAUCAGCUUGUUGGUGGGAUGAGGCCUACCAAGGCGACGACGGGUAGCCGGCCUGAGAGGGCGACCGGCCACACUGGGACUGAGACACGGCCCAGACUCCUACGGGAGGCAGCAGUGGGGAAUCUUGCGCAAUGGGCGAAAGCCUGACGCAGCGACGCCGCGUGAGGGAUGACGGCCU
rnacentral:rRNA from 1 species